rnacentral:rRNA from 1 species
AGAGUUUGAUCAUGGCUCAGAAUCAACGCUGGCGGCGUGCCUAACACAUGCAAGUCGAACGAGAAAGUGGAGCAAUCCAUGAGUAAAGUGGCGCACGGGUGAGUAACACGUGACUAACCUACCCUUGAGUGGGGAAUAACUUCGGGAAACCGAGGCUAAUACCGCAUAACACCUACGGGUCAAAGGAGCAAUUCGCUUAAGGAGGGGGUCGCGGCAGAUUAGUUAGUUGGCGGGGUAAUGGCCCACCAAGACGGUGAUCUGUAUCCGGCCUGAGAGGGCGCACGGACACACUGGAACUGAAACACGGUCCAGACUCCUACGGGAGGCAGCAGUGGGGAAUUUUGCGCAAUGGGGGAAACCCUGACGCAGCAACGCCGCGUGGAGGAUGAAGUCCCUUGGGACGUAAACUCCUUUCGAUCGGGACGAUUAUGACGGUACCGGAAGAAGAAGCCCCGGCUAACUUCGUGCCAGCAGCCGCGGUAAUACGAGGGGGGCGAGCGUUGUUCGGAAUUAUUGGGCGUAAAGGGCGCGUAGGCGGUUGGAUAAGUCUCGUGUGAAAUCUUCGGGCUCAACUCGAAGUCUGCACGAGAAACUAUCCGGCUAGAGUGUGGGAGAGGUGAGUGGAAUUCCUGGUGUAGCGGUGAAAUGCGUAGAUAUCAGGAGGAACACCUGUGGCGAAAGCGGCUCACUGGACCACAACUGACGCUGAGGCGCGAAAGCUAGGGGAGCAAACAGGAUUAGAUACCCUGGUAGUCCUAGCCCUAAACGAUGAUCGCUUGGUGUGACGGGUACCCAAUCCCGCCGUGCCGAAGCUAACGCGUUAAGCGAUCCGCCUGGGGAGUACGGUCGCAAGGCUGAACUCAAGGAUUGACGGGGCCCGCACAAGCGGUGGAGCAUGUGGUUUAAUUCGACGCACGCGAAGAACCUUACCUGGGCUCGA